GGCGGAGUGUAUAUAACCGAGAUGGAAAGAGAUACGGAUUUAGGAAGAAGUGGCAGAGCGUAGAGGAUGUUGGGGGAAUUCACCGGGGGACACUUACAGGCAUAAGGGAGUCUGAGGCAAUGAUGAAUCCUGCCCAUGGUCUCAUAAGCCUUAUAAAAUAGCUCCCCUCAGUAGGUGCAUCAAUCCACUUGACUGCGUGUUUCCUUGUACCUGCAGCUGAAACAGGU